UGCAAGUCGAACGCCGUAGCAAUACGGAGUGGCAGACGGGAUAGUAACACGUGGGAACGCGCCCUUCGGUUCGGAAUAACUCAGGGAAACUUGAGCUAAUACCGGAUACGCCCUAACGGGGAAAGAUUUAUUGCCGAAGGAACGGCCCGCGUCCGAUUAGCUAGUUGGUGAGGUAAUGGCUCACCAAGGCGACGAUCGGUAGCUGGUCUGAGAGGAUGACCAGCAUCACUGGGACUGAGACACGGCCCAGACUCCUACGGGAGGCAGCAGUGGGGAAUAUUGGACAAUGGGCGCAAGCCUGAUCCAGCCAUGCCGCGUGGAUGAUGAAGGCCUUAGGGUUGUAAAGUCCUUUUAACGGGGAAGAUAAUGACGGUACCCGUAGAAUAAGCCCCGGCUAACUUCGUGCCAGCAGCCGCGGUAAUACGAAGGGGGCUAGCGUUGCUCGGAAUUACUGGGCGUAAAGCGCACGUAGGCGGACUCUUAAGUCGGUGGUGAAAUCCUGGAGCUCAACUCCAGAACUGCCUUCGAUACUGGGAGUCUUGAGUCCGGGAGAGGUGAGUGGAACUGCGAGUGUAGAGGUGAAAUUCGUAGAUAUUCGCAAGAACACCAGUGGCGAAGGCGGCUCACUGG
rnacentral:rRNA from 1 species